UACAGAGGGGGCAAGCGUUGUUCGGAAUUACUGGGCGUAAAGCGUGCGCAGGCGGUUCGUGAUGUCUGAUGUGAAAGCCCCGGGCUCAACCUGGGAAUUGCAUUGGAAACUAGCGGGCUGGAGUGUGGCAGAGGGGGGUGGAAUUCCACGUGUAGCAGUGAAAUGCGUAGAGAUGUGGAGGAACACCGAUGGCGAAGGCAGCCCCCUGGGCUAACACUGACGCUCAUGCACGAAAGCGUGGGGAGCAAACAGG
rnacentral:rRNA from 1 species